AUUGAACGCUGGCGGCAGGCCUAACACAUGCAAGUCGAACGCGUGGCGGACGGGUGAGUAAUGUCUGGGAAACUGCCUGAUGGAGGGGGAUAACUACUGGAAACGGUAGCUAAUACCGCAUACCAUCAGAUGUGCCCAGAUGGGAUUAGCUAGUUGGUGGGGUAACGGCUCACCAAGGCGACGAUCCCUAGCUGGUCUGAGAGGAUGACAAGCCACACUGGAACGGAGACACGGUACAGACGCAUCUGGGAGGCAGCAGUGGGGAAUAGUGCACAAGGGGCGCAAGCCUGAUGCAGCCAUGCCGAGUGGAUGAAGAAGGCCAUCGGGUUGUAAAGUACUUUCAGCGGGGAGGAUUUACCAGAAGAAGAAGCACCGGCUAACUCCGUGCCAGCAGCCGCGGUAAUAC
rnacentral:rRNA from 1 species